rnacentral:rRNA from 1 species
UCGCCAGACUCCUACGGGAGGCAGCAGUGGGGAAUAUUGCACAAUGGGGGGAACCCUGAUGCAGCGACGCCGCGUGGGUGAAGAAGUCAUUCGUGACGUAAAGCCCUAUCAGCAGGGAAGAAAAUGACGGUACCUGACUAAGAAGCCCCGGCUAACUACGUGCCAGCAGCCGCGGUAAUACGUAGGGGGCAAGCGUUAUCCGGAUUUACUGGGUGUAAAGGGGGCGCAGACGGCGAUGCAAGCCAGGAGUGAAAGCCCGGGGCCCAACCCCGGGACUGCUCUUGGAACUGCGUGGCUAGAGUGCAGGAGGGGCAGGCGGAAUUCCUGGUGUAGCGGUGAAAUGCGUAGAUAUCAGGAGGAACACCGGUGGCGAAGGCGACCUGCUAGAACAUAACUGACGCUGAUGCGCGAAAGCGUGGGGAGCAAACAGGAUUAGAUACCCCCGUAG